GGAACAAAGGGGGUUCCAGAAUGUUUUAAUUUUCCCAUGACAUAUGAGUGAUCAAAGAGAAUCUGAUGUGAAAGAAGUGAAACCAAAGGUGUUAUGACAAGCUGCUCUAAAAUAUAAAGGGUUCAGUAUGGAUUUUCUACAGCCAUUAUCACAAGAAUUAACCAAGUACGGCCAGUAUCAGGAAGAAUAUAUUAAACUUCAUUCACAUAAGAUCGGAACAGUGGUGGUGUAUUUGUACUGCGGUGGUAGCGGUAAUUUCUAAAUGUUUCAUUGGUAUUAUACAGGCUUGUGUAAUCAUCAUAUUUAUUUUAAAACAGUCACACACAGAUUAUAAAGAAAAUUGUAAGUAAAUAAAUAACAUUAAAUAAACAUGUACG